rnacentral:rRNA from 1 species
AGGGAAUAUUGCACAAUGGAGGAAACUCUGAUGCAGCGACGCCGCGUGAGUGAUGAAGGACUUCGGUUCGUAAAGCUCUGUCGUAUGGGAAUAAGAAAGUGAAUGUACCAUGCAAGAAAGGAUCGGCUAACUUCGUGCCAGCAGCCGCGGUAAGACGAGGGAUCCUAGCGUUGUUCGGAAUCAUUGGGCGUAAAGCGGAUGUAGGUGGCUUUGUAAGUCGAGUGUGAAAGCCCAGGGCUCAACCCUGGAAGUGCAUUCGAUACUGCGAAGCUUGAGUGCUGGAGAGGCUACUAGAAUACCUGGUGUAGUGGUGAAAUACGUAGAUAUCAGGUGGAAUACCGGAGGCGAAGGCGGGUAGCCAGCCAGACACUGACACUCAGAUCCGAAAGUGUGGGGAUCAAAC